rnacentral:lncRNA from 1 species
AGCUGGGGCAGUACUAGACAGCUCGACAGGGUGGUACUGGUGCAGGAGAGCUGGUGGGCUGACCGACUCAGCUACCAACCAGGCCCAGAUUCAGGGCUUUGAGUCAGCCCACCCCAACAUCUACCCCAUCUAUGAACUGCUGGGUGGUGUGAAAAGCCCAGUCCUACAGAUCCAAAGCUGCAGGAUCUCCAUGACACAGGGCAAUAAUAACAGGGUGACUAGGGGGAGUCUCCAUGAAGAUCUAGUACUGAUGAUGUAGCAGAAGCCAGAUGCCUCCGACCAGAGCAGUGACUCCUUGCAAUGAACACUUGCUUCUUCCAUGGCACAUCUUUCUCUGU